GCGAUCCUUUGCUCGGCUGCUUGCGAUCGCUGGUCGCGAUCCUCUGCUCGGAUGCUUGUGAUCGCUGGUGGCGAUCCUCUGCCUGGCCGGUGUGAUUCCCAACAGCAAAUGUGAGCGGCCGGUUUUGGAUUCAGGUUUAUAGAACCUUGCUCGAAGCGACCAAAUCAACUCCUGGGGCGUGGAGAACAACAAGUUCUGUGUGUUCGUCCACUUUAGAUGUGUGGAUGAAAAGAGAUGGAGAGCUUUAGCAGACAGAGUAUAUAGAAGCAUCCAACGAUAAGAGUACCCAAAACAGUGAAGAUGUGUUCCAAGCAGACAGAGUAUAUUCAUGUUGUUUUAAAUAUGGAGGGAAAUGGGUUCAAACUAGUGAGCAACAUAGAAAGAGGUAUGACGGUGGCAUAAAUGUAGCAGAUGUUCACUUUGGGGGCAUCAUCGGAGCACAUGCAAAAACUCAUUACAGAAGAUCAACAAUGAUACAAUGACACAACACGAAAACUCAUUAUUAAAACGUAGAAAGUUGGAAAGUAGACGGACUGCUGAGACUUUCAACGAUGUAGUAGAGCUUGAGUACCUACAUGUUGAUGGGUUUUGAGCAUCAAAUGUAAUUACCAACACGCAAAGAUAUAAUUUUUGGCUGUUUUUGGAUAUAAUUUUUG